rnacentral:rRNA from 1 species
AGCGAACGCUGGCGUCAGGCCUAACACAUGCAAGUCGAACGAACCUUUCGGGGUUAGUGGCGGACGGGUGAGUAACACGUGGGAACGUGCCUUUAGGUUCGGAAUAACUCAGGGAAACUUGUGCUAAUACCGAAUGUGCCCUUCGGGGGAAAGAUUAAUCGCCUUUAGAGCGGCCCGCGUCUGAUUAGCUAGUUGGUUGAGGUAAUGGCUCACCAAGGCGACGAUCAGUAGCUGGUCUGAGAGGAUGAUCAGCCACAUUGGGACUGAGACACGGCCCAAACUCCUACGGGAGGCAGCAGUGGGGAAUCUUGCGCAAUGGGCGAAAGCCUGACGCAGCCAUGCCGCGUGAAUGAUGAAGGUCUUAGGAUUGUAAAAUUCUUUCACCGGGGACGAUAAUGACGGUACCCGGAGAAGAAGCCCCGGCUAACUUCGUG